rnacentral:rRNA from 1 species
AGCGAACGCUGGCGGCAGGCCUAACACAUGCAAGUCGAACGAACUCUUCGGAGUUAGUGGCGGACGGGUGAGUAACACGUGGGAACGUACCUUUCGGUUCGGAAUAACUCAGGGAAACUUGUGCUAAUACCGAAUGUGCCCUUCGGGGGAAGGAUUUAGGGCCAUUAGAGCGGCCCGCGUCUGAUUAGCGAGUUGGUGAGGUAACGGCGGACCAAGGCGACGAUCAGUGGCUGGUCGGAGAGGAUGCCCAGCGGGACUGGGAUUGGGACACGGCCCAUACGCCAGCGGGAGGCAGGAGUGGGGAAUCAUGGGCAAGGGGCGAAAGCCUGACGCAGCCAGGCCGGGUGAAUGAUGAAGGGGUUAGGAUUGUAAAAUUCUUUCACCGGGGACGAUAAUGACGGUACCGGGAGAAGAAGCCCCGGUUAAUUUCGG